rnacentral:rRNA from 1 species
AACGAACGCUGGCGGCAGGCUUAACACAUGCAAGUCGAGCGCCCCGCAAGGGGAGCGGCAGACGGGUGAGUAACGCGUGGGAAUCUACCCAUCUCUACGGAAUAACGCAUGGAAACGUGUGCUAAUACCGUAUACGUCCUUCGGGAGAAAGAUUAUCGGAGAUGGAUGAGCCCGCGUUGGAUUAGCUAGUUGGUGGGGUAAAGGCCUACCAAGGCGACGAUCCAUAGCUGGUCUGAGAGGAUGACCAGCCACACUGGGACUGAGACACGGCCCAGACUCCUACGGGAGGCAGCGGUGGGGAAUAUUGGACAAUGGGCGCAAGCCUGAUCCAGCCAUGCCGCGUGAGUGAUGAAGGCCCUAGGGUUGUAAAGCUCUUUCACCGGUGAAGAUAAUGACGGUAACCGGAGAAGAAGCCCCGGCUAACUUCGUGCCAGCCGCCGCGGUAAGAC